rnacentral:tRNA from 1 species
GGACAGGUGGCUGAGCGGUCAAAAGCAACGGGCUGUAAACCCGUCGCCCUUUGGGGCUACGGAGGUUCGAAUCCUCCCCUGUCCACCA